GAUGAACGCUGGCGGCGUGCCUAAUACAUGCAAGUCGAGCGAACAGACGAGGAGCUUGCUCCUCUGACGUUAGCGGCGGACGGGUGAGUAACACGUGGAUAACCUACCUAUAAGACUGGGAUAAAUUCGGGAAACCGGAGCUAAUACCGGAUAAUAUAUUGAACCGCAUGGUUCAAUAGUGAAAGACGGUUUUGCUGUCACUUAUAGAUGGAUCCGCGCCGCAUUAGCUAGUUGGUAAGGUAACGGCUUACCAAGGCAACGAUGCGUAGCCGACCUGAGAGGGUGAUCGGCCACACUGGAACUGAGACACGGUCCAGACUCCUACGGGAGGCAGCAGUAGGGAAUCUUCCGCAAUGGGCGAAAGCCUGACGGAGCAACGCCGCGUGAGUGAUGAAGGUCUUCGGAUCGUAAAACUCUGUUAUUAGGGAAGAACAAAUGUGUAAGUAACUAUGCACGUCUUGACGGUACCUAAUCAGAAAGCAACGGCUAACUACGUG
rnacentral:rRNA from 1 species